rnacentral:misc_RNA from 1 species
AAGACUAUAGACCUGCGGAGUACCUGCGGAGGGAUCAUUACAGGACUCGCAAGACUCCUACAACCCUGUGAACUUAACUAUAAGCACGUUGCUUCGGCGGGUGUCUCGGCGAGGGUUCUCCCUCCCCGGGGCGCUAAGCCCGCCGGCAGCCUACUAUACUCUGUCUCUUUGCGUUGGCAUCUCGAGUACAAACAAACAAGUUAAAACUUUCAACAAUGGAUCUCUAGAUCGGAAGAGCAC